UAACGAGAAAGGUAAACCCUGAGUGAUCAGGGGGCGCAAAGUAGUGGAUCUUUAAGCCGACACGGAAGUGGUUUAGAAAACACGAUCCCCAGGAAUAAAGACAGCCUUACUGCCGAA
rfam:Candidatus Brocadia fulgida BROFTL_contig000074, whole genome shotgun sequence.